CACCUGCAAGGAGAAGGGAAACUCACUCAAAUAGCCCAGCUGGCAGCCACUUCUCCUGCACCAGGCGGUGUUUGGACUGGAGUUGCCUUUUCUAAGGAUGCAAAGCUACAUACACAGUUGAUACUCUUGGCUGAGAUGACAGAUAUGGUUACAAAUCACAAGUUUAGUAAAAACAAAUAAUAAUGUCACCAGAGUAGAUGGGAGAAAUGUUAGCUUCAUCUUUUUACCAACUUUUGAAAAAUCUGGAAGGACAAGGAAAAAGGAAAGAGCAGUACUUUAUGUCCCAUAAGGCAUGCAGGUUUAUUUGCAAAAAUCUUGUAACAGUCUCUUGUGACACACUAGUAUCACAAGGAAGAUGAACAAAAACAAGAACCCACAGAAUUCUGACAGUGACACAACCUUUUUCCAGAAUCUCGACUGGAAGCUCUACGAGUCUUUGUUGAAUCAUGGUUUUAAGAACAAAAGUGGUGAAAGAUCCCUUUUUUCAUUGAAAAAGCAAUUGAAAGAGACACAACAGAGACAGGAAAGUGUCAGCAGUCACAGAGAGAUGGGUACAUCCUCUUUCCAUUUUGCCCCCCAAGGAAUGACCCCUUCAUGCUGUGAAGUGAGCUAGUUACAUUGAUGAAAAAAAAGAAUCACCGUAAUUAUGUCAAAACAUAGAACAUGCUACACCACCAGGUCAGGGACACAUCAGGUGGUGUCAGUGGGAUAAAGAUAUAUGGUAAGAACAGCACUGCCUUCACGAUUACAAGGCAGCAGGCAGUUUUCCUCACUAGUGAGUUUUAUGGAAUUCAUAAUAGGAUACCCAAAAGCAACAGGAAUAAAUAGUAAAUGGCCAAAUUUGCUGGUAUGACAAGCAUAAGCAAGAUGGGUUAAAACCUAAAAGGACAGUUAAAAACAGUAUUUAGCCAAGCAACUGAGUAAUAAAAUGGCAGGUGAAAUUUACUGUUGAUUGAUGUGAUGGACACAGAAGAAAGUUGCACACAGAUUGGGUUAAAUUUUAUUGCCCAGAAAAAACUUUGGCAUUGUAACAGUUCUAUAAAAAAAGCCACCUCAAUGCUGAACAGCAGUCAAAACCAACAAACAGAAUAUUAGGAUUGUGGAAAGAAUAAUGAAUUAAAAUAUUGCUAUGCCACUAUAAGUCAGGAGCACACCUGCAUCUUGUAUCCAGAUAUGUAGCUUACAUUGUCUGUUCCUUAUCCCCAUUCAGAAACGGCACAGAAAACUUAAGCCUAGCAAAAGUGGCAAAAGUAUGAAACAUCAACUGUACAAAAAACUAAAAAGAGCAGGAAAACAAACUGUCAGCCUGGAAAACAAACAAUGAAAAACCCCCAGAAGCCUUGUAAAAUAAAAACUGUUAUGGAGAAAAUGAACAGAAGAAAAUCAUGUUACUCAGUGAGAAGUCAGAUGAAGUCAUCAGGUCCAAGUAGAAAACAAAAAGGUACUUUCUCAUAUAACACAGUUAGUUAAACUGUGCAGCUCCCUGCCCCACAUUUGGCAGGACUGCCAAAGGCUCUCUAAGGGCUACUAAACAAAAAUCCAUGGAGUGAGAAUAAUCAAUCUAUCAAGAGGAACUAAGCAAAAAAACUAUAAUUUUUUUUGCCAGAUACUACUGGCAACUAGGUGAGUGCAACGGAGAAGCAGCUGCAUUUGCAGAAUAGAGAACUGUACUUGUCCAGUUCUUGUAUCAGGCAUGAACUUGUCACUGUUAAGAGACUAGAGACCAGAUGAGACCUUUGAUUUAAUCCUGUGAAGUAUUUUACUAAGAACAGUGUCUGCUGCAACUCCACAUAACCACACCCUUACCUUGCAGUCAGUGGCAGAGACAUAAGAAUGCUUUCGAUUCUUGAUCCUGGUGUCAGGAGGCCAAACUUUGUACCUCUGUCAUAAACCAAGUUGAACUCUACAUACCUACAGGAAUGAAGAGAUGCAACAGAAAAAUCCCUAGUUUAUUAGCAGAAGUUGGUUAUGCUUUCUUCAAAUGGCAGAUGUCAAACAAAACCAGUCUGUCUUUCUGCUGAGUUGGCGUCAACUGUUCUGUCAACUCUUCUGCAGCAUCCUCUGCAUAGGAAUGCAGGUGUGACCUUGCCACUCCACAGAGCACAGGGAGAAGUAACCUCAGCUAAGAGACUAGAGCAGACCAACUGUUCUAAGGAGAGCAGUCUGCAGGCUCCUGUGCUGUACUGUACUCUUCCCAGGCCUCAGCCCUGUUGGCAAGCUUGACACUACAUUUACCUUGGUUCUUCUCUUUGUGGGGAUGUAAUAAAGAGAGGCCUUAAAGGUACUGAAAAUAACCAGAGAAAAAAUUCUACUGUGCAGUCCUCCAUGCAGAAGGACACAUAAGCAGCAAGGCCAGAAAAGUAUUUCCUGGUUCCUGAAAGAUCUAGAAACAGCAAAAGUCAGAUAGCUUCAGAGUGCUGGCUGGGAUUUGUAAGUGAUGAAAUAGACCAUUUUCUGCUCCCAGCAGAGGAACAGAGCUGUGACAAUUCAUCAAGGAUUAUCUUGAGGGCCAGUACAGGGUGUUUGUACUUAAAGAUACAGGAAGGGAAAAGCUCUUAUCCACGUGCAGAAAUGGAAAGCUUUACAUAGCCCCAUAACCUGCAAACAAAUCCAGGGAAAUAGACAGGCCUCAAGAGCUGGUUCUGGCUGCAAAUUAGAAAAGAUAUUUCGCCUUUUAAACUUUGCAGGUUUGCUAAAUCCCCUCCACAGGCUGGAUCCUGAAAGCCCAAUGUUCCCAAGAACAGUCCCACCAAAUUAAGGAUGCUUGCUUAAGUGACCAACAGCUGCAGGCCAGUGAUCUGAACUUGAAUGCUUACACUCUUUCCAUGCCAGUCUCACAUUUCUCUGCAGAACAGGCAGAAACUAAAGACUCUAGUUGAGCACAAAGCACAAAGUAUAGUUUCAAUUCUCCAUACACUCAAACAGUCACAGGACAUGGAGAACAGAGUGCAACUGUAUUAACCAAUGUACUUAAGCUUUUUGCAGCAUUAACAGUUGGUGACAUUAAGCAUCCUCCUAAGUAUUUUACAGUAACCUUGGACCAUGCCAGAAUAAAAAAAUCCAACCCUCUGUAUUCUUUUACAGGUAUCCUCAAUUCCUUUACAGGAAUUUCAAUGCCAAGAUCAGAUGGAUCAGAUGUAUGUAAGGAGCUGAAAAUACUCAAGUACAGUUAUUUCCUGACUUUCUGGGGUUUUCCUGCAUUACUUAAUAGGAAGCCACCAUUCUUUUACCCUUAGCUCCUCAUGUGACAGGGCAGCCCUAUAUACACUACCUCUGGGCUGCAGGAGAGGGCAGGAUUCAGGACAUGAAGCACACCCACACCCCUUGGCCUGUUACACAGCAGAAGCUUCUCUUGCUUUAUGAAGGAGUUGAAAAGAAAUGGUGGUGCUUUGCUUGUGUUGCAACAUGGGAGAGUGGGAAAUGCCUUCUUUGCACCCUGUUUAGCAAUCUAGCAUUGGAUUUCAGAAUUAGUUCUAUGCACAAAAAUGCUGAAAUUCUUGGUCUGUUUUUUUGGCCCACACAACCUGUAACUGUGAAGACCUAGCUCAUAUUUUUUUCUUGCCAGCCCAGUCCACCUCCUGCGUAUACUUUUGUUCCUCUAGUACUCACCGUCCUCUCCGAAGCUGUUGCCAUAGCUUUUCCUCUGGUGUGAAGGAGUCAUGGCAGUGCUUUUUCACAAUGGGAAUGUAACAAGGCACAACAGCUUUGGCACAACUCUUUACAAACUGGAAUACUUCCUCCUUGGAGGGAGAGUCCACAUCAUCAAAGAAUAUGCCUCCAAUCCCUCUACGCUCGCCACGGUGCUUGAUAUAGAAGUAGUCGUCACACCUAGAAGCAGCGUCAGAUGAUUACCAAUAUGGUCCAGAGUAUUCAAAGACAUGAACAGUACUCUAAAGAGCUGCAUGCUACAGGACAGAACCAGUGAAAUACUGCCCAUAAGUCAGUUUCUGCAGGGCUGGGUGCCCCACUGUUUCCCUGAUACCCAGAGGCAGGACAGUGCAGCAUCACCUGGAAAGCACUCCUGUGUCACUUGCAGUAAAAGCUGUGAUUAAAUGGUCUCUGUAAAGCUACACAUCACCACAAACACCCUGAACACCCUGGCAGAUGCGUCCAUGUGGGUUAAUCCAAUCCAUAUCCUCAACCAACUCCGAACAGAGACAUCUGAUUUCAAAAUUUUCAAAACUAAGGGCUCUUGAUAGAUUCCAUUCCCAGAAUUAUAUGUAGUUCUCAAAUUAUUUGGACAGCUUUCAUAUGAACUCAGACUUGGAAGAGAAUUUAUUCUCUUUGCCAUCCAAGUAAAAGAAUUUUCUUCAUCAAAACAUAAGUAACCUAAGGCCCCAAGACCAGAUAAGAAAGCAACUCUCAUGGCACCCUUCUUUGGAAAAAGGCUUUUUAAUAGUUAAAACUUGAAAGACUGAGUCAUUAUAGCAGUGGCUUUUCAUGACUCAUGUUUAAGUUUAUAAAUGAGUAAGGACAGCUUGUCCUAAAAGCAAUUAAUCUCUUUUGUAUUUACAGGGAGUAUUUAGUUGUGAAAUUACUGUAACUUGAAUGACUUAACUCCAUCUUUCUUAUAAUUCCUUGCUUGGGCGUGCAAGUCUUCACAGGGAGGAGAAAGCAAAAUGAAGUAUGAAGCAGGAACCAUCAACAUCAAGAAAACCUGGCCUUCCAUUAGGACUAGUUUUCCAUACAGAACCAGUUUUCCAUAUAUCCACAAUCGUUCUCAAGCAUUAUAUGUGGCAUGGCCAUAACAAGAGAGACCUAGAGAUGUAACAGAUAACCUACACUAUUUUUUUUUAUUCUCUAGGAUAAUCAGUGUUUUCUAUUUUAUGAUAGCAGGAAGAGUUAGGGAAAAACACCGAGUCAGAAACAUAUAAGAGAAUAAGCCUGACAAAAAUCUUAAAUCUAAAUCAGGUAGACAAUGUGGUAAGUGUAAUAAUGUUUUUCUUUAGCGAAGUGGGAAAACGUCUCCUACCCCCUGCAGCUGGCAUUGCAAACCUACUUAAGCAGCAAAGAACCAGACCAUUAAGGUAGAUUCUCUAAACUACCAUGCAAAAAAUCCUCAGACAGCAAGACUCUAAUCUCAAGGCUCUACAAUAUGUCUCUCUACUAAGUGGUUGCCACCCAAACUAUAACACCCACUUUAUCUCCUGUCCUCAGACAAGACCUAGUAGCUUACAAAAGGGUACCCCCACCUUCCUGCAUACACAGCUUGCGGCAGAUAGGAUUAUCAGACACAGAACAGCAAGUUCCCACUUAGUAGUGGAAGAUCCCAUCACUUGUAUCUCUCAGCUCAAGAACAUAAAAAGCUUGCAUCUUAGAAAAUGUGCUGUUGAACUCCUAGUGAAUGUGUCACCAGAGAAAAAAACACAGCUUCAUCGAAUUAUGAAGCUUCUACAUUAAGGACAAUGUCCUUGACAUACCGGGAAAUUACCUGGCUAUGAAGGCCAGACUGAAGGCAGAAAAACAAAAAUGGGAUUUUCAAAACUGCUGUGAUGACCCAAGAGCUCACACUGAAUCAUGCACAUUUACCACGAGUUCACUGCAAAGAGAAUUUGUGCAAGUUCAUGGGGCAGAAGUCUUAUCCUACUUUAACACCAGAGGCUAAAAGGAAUUUUAUCAGCUUAGUUUUUCUUUGGGCUGUAGACUUACGAUCCUAGUUGUGAGCCCUCAGACUUGAAAAAUCCAGGAUUCUGUAAAUAAGAUAUUUCUUUAGACAACAUUUUGUCCUAGUACACUUCUGAUUUUCAUUAGGGCUUUCUGAUACAUUUCAAAAGGCAUCAGAACCUACAGUUCCUAGCACACACUUAACUGCCAACACCCAGUCCUGCUUUCUGCUCCCCCCAAGCACACCUUCGUCCACGUACCAUUUCUUGUACUUGGGAUACAGCUUUAGAUCAUGCUUGUCACAGGCUUCUUUCAGAGUCUUGUGAAAAUGAACGGCAUCCUCUUCAUUCAGGUAAGUUGGAGUGAGGUCAGUCCCACCACCAAACCACCACUGUUUAGUUCCUAUAGCAGAGGCAAGCAGCAAAAUUUUUCUUUUAAACUUCUGAACAGCAACUUGUUGCUAGUGGUUCACCAAAAACUAACAACUACUUUUAUGAUACAAAAAAACAUCAUUUUUCAGCGGUGUCCCUAAACUUCAAUAGUGAAAAAUUUGACUACAAGGUAGUGCAAUGAUCAGUGACUUCAGGAAAAGAUGAAACAAACUUCAAUGUAGUGAAAACCAUUUUGGACUAUUGACCCUGACUACAGGACAGCAAUUUCACAAGAUGGGCUGGUGAGUCUUGACAUACCUGGGAGCAAACUCACACUGGUUCUUGAUCUCUUACCCAGCCAUGCAUUCACACUUCCUUGGGGCAGAGUCAGACAUUUCAUACAUUCCUCACUGGACAAUAAUCCUUACCAUCUGCUUCUUCAAUUUCAAAGUAUCUGUAGUUGAAGUGCAUGGUUGGAACAUGAGGAUUCUUUGGAUGGAUAACAGAGCUCACACCCAUGGCGCAAAAAGGCAGCUUCCCUGGAUAAAAGGAUGCACAGGAAAAGCUCUUCAGUUUUUCAAUAAACUUCAUUUGUUAUCAUUUAA